CAGUAGCCGCGGUAAGACAGAGGGGGCUAGCGUUGUUCGGAAUUACUGGGCGUAAAGCGCACGUAGGCGGCUUGGUAAGUUAGAGGUGAAAUCCUGGAGCUCAACUCCAGAACUGCCCUUGAUACUGGAAGUCUUGAGUAUGGGAGAGGUGAGUGGAACUGCGGGUGUAGAGGUGAAAUUCGUAGAUAUUCGGAAGAACACCAGUGGCGAAGGCGGCUUACUGGCUCAUUCUAGACGCUGAGGUGCGAAAGCGUGGGGAGCAAACAGGAUUAGAGACCCCUGUAGUCCCUGUCUCUUAUAC
rnacentral:rRNA from 1 species